UGAUUUUUUUGAUGGAAUU
rnacentral:miRNA from 1 species